rnacentral:lncRNA from 1 species
AAUAUCAAAAGCAACUUAGUUCUCAGCAAACUUAGGCUCUGAUAUCUUGUACUCAAAUUCAACAGAACCAAAAGAAGUUAAUCCAAACUCAAAGGCAAUUCAGUAACCCAAUAAAUCCAUUUAUUUGAAACAAACAUAUUAGGUCCUUCUCUGUGCUAAAUACAAUGCCUAGUUUUCUGCAUAUUUUUUGCUUGGGGAAAGAUAACCUGACAUAUAGAAUUUAUUUUGUCACAAAUGUUUAAAUAGUAUCAAUUAAGAUAAAGAGUUACACAAUUAGACAUACAGUUACACUUUCAACCUCAUUCUUUUACUUCAAAUAAAGAAAAGGAAGAUUACAAAGGAGCUAUUAAACUUGGGUUGUGGUCAAGUGUAAAACAAUAAGGAUGGGUGGGGACUGUGAUACAUUAGAGAGAUCAAGUCCAACCUAAGACAAAUUCAAGUCAACUGGAAAUAAAUUGCACUUCCCAAAUAAAGAUGGCAGUAGGCUGAAUUUGGCCUGGUGAUUCUAAGUUUAUGGUUCUCUACUACAUAGUCAGUUAUAGAAUCUGUUUAUGAAAGAAAAAAAUUGUAAUUUCUAACAUUCUCUAAUAUCCAAGAGCUUUCUGGUUUUUAAAAUUAUUCUCACCCAAACUGAUGCAAGACAAGAACUUUGUGGGUCACCUCUUUUCAAGUUCCAAUCAAAUCGGAGAACAGAGAGGAAGAAAACAAAGUCUGUUCCUAAUUGAGGCUAGUAGAUAGAAGAAUCAUAUUCUUUUGAUAAAACUCAUCAGAAACACAGUAGGGCACCUGCUCUCAGUCACAACAUUGGAGCCUCUUGGAAGUGAUAUUAAUAAAUCCCAAAUGAUAAAGCCUUUCCUGGCCUGAAUAACAACACCAUAGAAUAGUCACCAGCCACGAUUAAGAACCUACACAGGUGUGGGCUGUGCUGGAGAUUGUGAAAAGCAUACCAAGCACCUAGGUGGAUGAAACUUCCAUUUGAAAUCAUUUUCCUAGCAGAAAAAAUAUGCAGUUUAAUUUCCUGUGGGAGAUUAGAUUUUGAGUUAGAUGACAAUGGCAUAGACAGAGCUGCAAGAGACACAUAUAUAUAAGCAUUAGUGCAAUUCAAAGGUUAAAUGCAUUUAAUGAGCUGAUCAGUGAUGAUAUUUUUGGUUCAGGAAAAUUUCCUAUAGGAGGCAUUUAUCAUGUUAGUCAAAUUCUAAAACAAGCCAACUCUUUUGAUGCUAUUGUGUUUUUACAAAUGAAAAUAUAGGAUGCUUAUAAUUUUUAUUGCACAUUUAAAUCAAUGCACAUUGCAGCCACAAUUGGUUUCUUGAAAAUAUCAUUUCCUCCUUCCAAAUUCUCCAAUGUUUACCCUCUUGCUUGUGUGUAAGGGUUCAGUUUCCCACUGCCCUUUGGUAAUUUUCACCUGAAUGUCUUGGAGAUAUUGCAACUUUUGUUGUUGUUGUUGUUUGUAUCUAUGACAUCGGAUCCACAUGAAGCAUACAAUAAACAUGUUUAUUUAGGAAAAUUGACAUAUUGUAUUGAGCCUUUCAUGUUACAUGGCAUAUUUUUCUGCUCAUUCAAGUCAUCCUUUUUUUAAUUAAAAAACUUUUAAUUUGUUAUAUAUGACAACAGAAUGCAUUACAAUUCAUAUUAUACAUAUUACACAUAUAGAGCAC